rnacentral:lncRNA from 1 species
ACCAGCUGUAGUUUUUGAGAUUACCAAGCCCACUCUUAGAUUCAGGAGUUUACUAGAUGUAUUAUCAGAUUGCUUGAAGCUGUUUUAACCACAUUCAUGGUUUAUUACACUGGAAGAAUAGAGAUUCAGAUCAGCAAAGAAGGGGCACAUAGGAGAGGGUCCAGGAAUAAUGUGGUAUGAGCUAUCAUUUGUCCUUUUUCAGGGGAAUCACAUGGAUAGCACUUUUUACUUUUUCUGAUACAAUAUGUGGCAAUACACAUGGAAUACUGUCAACCAAAGCUUUUGUGUCCAAGGUUUUCAUUAGAUGUUAACAGACUAUUUUAUGUAACUUAAGCUCUGAGUUACUCCAUGCUGCAUAGAACAGAAGUUUUCAGGCUGUGCCUAAGCCUUUGUUACUCCAUUUUGUAAAGCAAUAGUUUGCUAUAAGCUGCUCUGUUUUGUGUUUAAGGGCUGAGGUGUAAUGAUUCCACACCUUGUUUGUACAAAUAGAUUGUGGGAAGCCAUUCUGACACGUGACUGGGCGGCUCCCGUUAAGGGUCUGAGGCGUUCUGGCUGUGUCGGAACUUUCCCGGCCCUUUCCUGAUGAGAGAACCCGUCCGUGUGGGGGUGUGACUGACCACUGACGCCAGGGGCCCAAUCACUGACCCUGACCUUGGAGUGCAGUCCCC